AGCAUCUAACAGCAAGCAACAAAAAAAAUGUUUAACAUGACUCGCAACAUGAUGGUUCUCUUCUUUUUCGUGGUCGCCUGCAUCACUGUCAUGAGCGCUCUUAUUCCGCUGUCGCCGUUACCGCCACUAACGUGUCCUACUGAGCCACCACUGCCCUCCUAUGCCGCCACCCUACCCUUAUGCUCCUCUCCUCCCCCAAAGUGCCCUAAAGGCGAAAUCUGAUCGGACUGCAGAUCAACCAUCGUACAAGAAAAUCCCAAACCAAUUUGCACAUUAUAAUGUAUCAAGGAUUGUUUCUGUCCGAAAUGUCAAUUGAAAAACUCUUUGGACUCAUGCGUGGAGUCUUGCUGCUGCUAAUUGAGAUGUCAUUGUAAUAACGACUUAUUGAUAUUUUCAUGUGCAAUUAUUUUCAAGAUCUAUAUUACAAGAUAGUCACGUGACUUUA